rnacentral:sRNA from 1 species
GAUGAAGCGAGUCGAUGAUGCACCUGGAAGUUACAUCCCGUUAAUGUGCUCCUCGGCCAGCCCGAAUCAUGUGUGACUGAGUAUUGGUGUAAUCACCCGCCAGCAGAAAAUUUCUGCUGGCUUUUUUC